AUUGAACGCUGGCGGCAGGCCUAACACAUGCAAGUCGAACGAGUGGCGGACGGGUGAGUACUGUCUCGGAAACUGCCUGCUAGAGGGGGAUAACUAAUGGAAACGGUAGCUAAUACCGCAUACUAUCGGAUGGGCCCAUAUGGGAUUAGCUAGUAGGUGGGGUAAAGGCUCACCUAGGCGACGAUCCCUAGCUGGUUUGAGAGGCUGACGCGCCAAACUGGAACUGAGACACGGCCCAGACUCCUACGGGAGGCAUCAGUGGGGAAUAUUGCACAAUGGGCGAAAGCCUGAUGCAGACAUGCCGCGUGUAUGAAGAAGACUUUAGGGUUGUAAAUUACUUUCAGCUGGGAGGCGUUACCCGCAGAAGAAGCACAGGCUAACUACGUGCCAGCAGCCGCGGUAAUUC
rnacentral:rRNA from 1 species